rnacentral:rRNA from 1 species
UACGAAGGGUGCAAGCGUUACUCGGAAUUACUGGGCGUAAAGCGUGCGUAGGUGGUUUGUUAAGUCUGUUGUGAAAGCCCCGGGCUCAACCUGGGAAUGGCAAUGGAUACUGGCAAGCUAGAGUGCGGUAGAGGGUAGUGGAAUUCCCGGUGUAGCGGUGAAAUGCGUAGAGAUCGGGAGGAACACCAGUGGCGAAGGCGGCUACCUGGACCAGCACUGACACUGGAGGCACGAAAGCGUGGGGAGGCAAACAGGGA